GACGAACGCUGGCGGCGUGCUUAACACAUGCAAGUCGAGCGGUAAGGCCCUUCGGGGUACACGAGCGGCGAACGGGUGAGUAACACGUGGGUAACCUGCCCUGUACUCUGGGAUAAGCCCGGGAAACUGGGUCUAAUACCGGAUACGACACUUGAAGGCAUCUUCGAGUGUGGAAAGUUCCGGCGGUAUGGGAUGGACCCGCGGCCUAUCAGCUUGUUGGUGGGGUAAUGGCCUACCAAGGCGACGACGGGCAGCCGGCCUGAGAGGGUGACCGGCCACACUGGGACUGAGACACGGCCCAGACUCCUACGGGAGGCAGCAGUGGGGAAUAUUGCACAAUGGGCGAAAGCCUGAUGCAGCGACGCCGCGUGAGGGAUGACGGCCUCGGUUGU
rnacentral:rRNA from 1 species